rnacentral:rRNA from 1 species
UCACCCAAGUAGCACGGGGCCCGUGAAAUCCCGUGUGAAUCUGGCGGGACC